GCCGGGCGCGGUGGCGCGCGCCUGUAGUCCCAGCUACUCGGGAGGCUGAGGCAGGAGGAUCGCUUGAGCCCAGGAGUUCUGGGCUGUAGUGCGCUAUGCCGAUCGGGUGUCCGCACUAAGUUCGGCAUCAAUAUGGUGACCUCCCGGGAGCGGGGGACCACCAGGUUGCCUAAGGAGGGGUGAACCGGCCCAGGUCGGAAACAGAAUAGAAAAAUAGCCAAGUCUGUGAAGAGACCAUCUACAGAGGAGGAAGGUUUUUGGGUUUGGAGAAGGUGAGCGAGUGGGCGUGCCCAA
rfam:Mustela putorius furo unplaced genomic scaffold scaffold00042, whole genome shotgun sequence.